rnacentral:rRNA from 1 species
UCCUGACUGACCGAUAGUGAACCAGUACCGUGAGGGAAAGGCGAAAAGAACCCCGGCGAGGGGAGUGAAAAAGAACCUGAAACCGUGUACGUACAAGCAGUGGGAGCCUCUUUUAUGGGGUGACUGCGUACCUUUUGUAUAAUGGGUCAGCGACUUAUAUUCUGUAGCAAGGUUAACCGAAUAGGGGAGCCGAAGGGAAACCGAGUCUUAACUGGGCGUUAAGUUGCAGGGUAUAGACCCGAAACCCGGUGAUCUAGCCAUGGGCAGGUUGAAGGUUGGGUAACACUAACUGGAGGACCGAACCGACUAAUGUUGAAAAAUUAGCGGAUGACUUGUGGCUGGGGGUGAAAGGCCAAUCAAACCGGGAGAUAGCUGGUUCUCCCCGAAAGCUAUUUAGGUAGCGCCUCGUGAAUUCAUCUCCGGGGGUAGAGCACUGUUUCGGCAAGGGGGUCAUCCCGACUUACCAACCCGAUGCAAACUGCGAAUACCGGAGAAUGUUAUCACGGGAGACACACGGCGGGUGCUAACGUCCGUCGUGAAGAGGGAAACAACCCAGACCGCCAGCUAAGGUCCCAAAGUCAUGGUUAAGUGGGAAACGAUGUGGGAAGGCCCAGACAGCCAGGAUGUUGGCUUAGAAGCAGCCAUCAUUUAAAGAAAGCGUAAUAGCUCACUGGUCGAGUCGGCCUGCGCGGAAGAUGUAACGGGGCUAAACCAUGCACCGAAGCUGCGGCAGCGACGCUUAUGCGUUGUUGGGUAGGGGAGCGUUCUG